rnacentral:rRNA from 1 species
CAGCGCCACGAGUGGCAAUCACGUUUAUUGGGCCUAAAGCGUCCGUAGCCGGUUUAGCAAAUCUUUUGUGAAAUCGUCAGGCUUAACUUGACGAAUUGCAGAAGACACUACUAAACUCGGGACCGGGAGGAGUCAGAAGUAUUCAGGGGGGACCGGUAAAAUGGUAUAAUCCCCUGAGGACUACCGAUGGCGAAGGCAUCUGACCAGAACGGAUCCGACGGUGAGGGACGAAAGCCAGGGGAGCAAACCGGAUUAGAUACCCGAGUAGUCC